GAUGCACCCAGCAUCGGAUAGAGACCACACACCCAGUACCAGCUCAUCGAAUCGCUCCAGUUAUAAUUCCAGUUACAGAAUCAAACCCCUGUGGAGUACGAUUCGUCAUCUAAACGUAAAAAGGACAUAGACACAGCUUUGGCGCAGUUAGUGACUGAAAGUUUUCACCCGUUCAAUAUUGUUAAUGACAAUGCAUUUCGUAAAUUCGUAAAGGUGUUGGAUACAAGUGUUGGCCACAAAAUAAUCAACGAUAUAACGAAUCAUACGGCAAGAAACAUUGCAGAUUCUUUACAUGAAGUUUUAAUGGAAUGGUCGGUUUUUAAUAA